rnacentral:rRNA from 1 species
GAUGAACGCUGGCUACAGGCUUAACACAUGCAAGUCGAGGGGAAACGACGGGGAAGCUUGCUUCCCCGGGCGUCGACCGGCGCACGGGUGAGUAACGCGUAUCCAACCUGCCUCUGACUGAGGGAUAACCCGUCGAAAGUCGGCCUAAUACCUCAUGGCAUCGUCUGCGGGCAUCCAACGACGAUUAAAGAUUUCAUCGGUCAGGGAUGGGGAUGCGUCUGAUUAGCUAGUUGGCGGGGUAACGGCCCACCAAGGCGACGAUCAGUAGGGGUUCUGAGAGGAAGGUCCCCCACAUUGGAACUGAGACACGGUCCAAACUCCUACGGGAGGCAGCAGUGAGGAAUAUUGGUCAAUGGGCGAGAGCCUGUACCAGCCAAGUAGCGUGCAGGAUGACGGCCCUAUGGGUUGUAAACUGCUUUUAUGCGGGGAUAAAGUGAGGGACGUGUCCUUCAUUGCAGGUACCGCAUGAAUAAGGACCGGCUAAUUCCGUG